rnacentral:tRNA from 1 species
GGGAUACUAGGUCAAAAAGUGAAACUUCUAAUUUUGCUUUAAGCGGUUUAACUCCGUUUGUACCCCU